rnacentral:lncRNA from 12 species
GACUAGGUCCCUGGGUCCCUAGGUGCUGUCCUGGGCCAUCUGUCUCCACCUCCCACACCUGCCACCCUCUGCAUCCAGCCACCCCCACUGCUUCUCAACCGCACCGAGAAACCAUGUGUGACGGAGGAGAAUGUAAAAAUAUAUAUAUGUAACUGAAAAACAACGUGCUGACAGAACACAGCUAUAAAUACUCUGACGGGUGCAGAACCAUUCCUUGGAUCCUUCUUCUUGCCACCCUAGGAGCGGGGCCCAGGAUUUGACAGGGCACUGGAGACACACGGAGAAGACCUGGGAGUGAGCUGGCCCAUCCCCCAGACACUCACUGCAUCAGGACCAGCCUUCCACAUGUGGUCAGAGCUUGCUGCACCUCUGGCCGGUGUGCAGCACAAAGGUAAGGCUGCCAGGGGUCACCUGUUGUCCUCAGACCUUCCCUGUGGACCAGCA